rnacentral:rRNA from 1 species
AAAGGAGGAAAAGGAAUCUCUCAGGGAAGUGAAACAAUUCCUGAAACAAUGCUCUUUCAACUUGUCACUUCCAGA